rnacentral:lncRNA from 1 species
AUCUGAAGGAGGCGAUUUACAACACUCUCACUUACUUCUUGCGUCGUUAGUUGUGGAUGUUUCAGACAAUAUUUUUUUGCUGUUUUGGACUGGUUCACCCGUCGUUGGAUUUUUUUUUAACUCUCGCUAACUCUGCAUUCCUAUAAUUGCCUAUAUUUUCCUAGUUUGCUUGCCUCUGUCUGCAAUGUUUCAUUGUUCUAUAUGUGCAUAUCCCCUCUUUAUUGAUGCCAAAAAGGGGGGAGAAAGGUUAAAUUAUAGUGCAUGACAAAUAACAUCACUUUUUGAGGGGGAGUCGACUACAAUAUAUAAGUUUACAGUGCAGGACAAAUAGUAACACCUUUUGAGGGGGAGUCGAUUGCAGCAUCAUGGAAGCCAGCUAAGAAGUCGACUAUAGCAAAACAAGCACCGACUAUAACAAGGAAGUAAAUUAAUUUUAUAUAUUAUUUUGUCAUCAUAAAAAAGGGGAAGAUUGUUAGAUAUAAAUUUCAAUGAUGAAAAAUAACAUAUUACUAUGGUGUAGGAUCACGCGAGAUGACAAGAAGGAUUCGAGAAAAUGUAUCACUGAAGUAUAGAAGAAGUCAAGAAAGGAGGGAGUAAGAGAAUCAAGGCAAAGAUCUGUCAACGGAAGCAAGUAAGGAAGAUUAAUGAUUGAAGCGAUAUGACAACCAGGAUGAUCGAUACAAUGAAGGAAAGGCCAAGAUUUUCCGUUGCCCUGAUUGAUGAAGAUAUGCAUCGAAAAAGGAAGGCUAUCAAUCCCAUAAAUCAAGGAACAACUUAAGGAGAACUUAUGACAAAUCUCUUUUCGAAAAAGGAAACGACCGGCAGUCAUGGAUCGUCUAUAAAGGCUCUGUACUUAUUCUUGGAAUGAAUCAUAACAGAUUAAAUUCUGAGGAUCAAUUCCCAUGGAAUUGCAAAUCUUUCAACGGUCUGCCAAACAUUCGCCCAGCCAAAAAGCUAAAGUAUAAAAUGAAGUAUGUCAAGGGAGUAACAUAUACUUUGAACCAACCACUAUCACUCUUUUUGUUCUACUCCAAACAUGCAUUGUAGUUCACUCUAGAUAUACUGUGUAACUAGUGAAAGAAGAAAGAGAGAAAAACACUGGUGAGAUAUUGUAUCAAGAAGCGAGACGUAACAUAGUGACUAAGCUGUUAGUGUAAAGCUACAUCAACUCUCUUGUAUCGAGAAACUUCAAAUAUUGAAAGAGAACACCCUUGCAACCAAAAAGGACUGGACAUAGGAUUCAUAUUGAAUCUUAACCAGUAUAAAAAAAUCCUGGUAUCUUUAAUUCCUGUAUUUUAUUUCUGCUUUAUUUAUAUUCUAUUCUUACCUUCAGUCGACUAAUUAGUGAACUAGUUAACUACUUAGGGUACAAAAAAAGAAGAAAAAUCGACAAUUCACCCCUCUCUUAUACUUUUAGGGUCAACUUAAUCAAUGUGGCUGAGAUAAAUGAAAACCCCUCCACGAACCGGCGAUAAUAACACGCCAAACCUAGGAAGCUCCGAAGCUCUCUAGCUGAAGUAGGUAUAUGCCAGUUCUGAAUAGCCUCAAUCUUAUUAGGAUCAACUUUAAUGCCCUCGAAAGAUACAACAUACCCCAAAAAGGCAAUAGAAUCCAACCAAAACUCACACUUUGAAAACUUGGCAUACAACUAACUAUCUCUCAAAGUCUGAAGUAUGAUCUGCAGAUGCUGCUCAUGUUCUUCUCGACUGCGGGAAUAGACCAAAAUAUCAUCAAUGAAGACGAUCACAAAAGAACAAAAUAAGGCUUGAAAAUCCGGUUCAUCAAAUCUACAAAUAUUGUUGGGGCAUUUGUCAAGCCAAAUGACAUCACUAGGAACUCAUAAUAGUCAUAUCGAGUCCGAAAAGCUGUUUUAGGGACAUCCGAUGCCCUAAUCUUCAACUGAUGGUAGCCAGAUCUCUGAUCAAUCUUCGAAAACACUUUAACACCUGAAGAUGAUCAAAUAAGUCAUCAAUCCUCAGCAACAAAUACUUGUUCUUGAUAGUGACCUUGUUCAACUGCCAAUAAUCUAUAUACAUCGUCAUCACACCAUCCUUCUUCUUCACGAACAACACCGGUACACCCCAGGGCGAGACACUAGGUCUAAUGAAUCCCUUAUCAAGAAAAUCCUGCAACUACUCCUUCAGUUCCUUCAACUCAGUUGGGGCCAUACGAUAUGGUGAAAUAGAAAUGGGUUGAGUGCCUCGAGCCAAGUCAAUACAGAAGUCGAUAUCUCUGCCAGGUGGCAUCGUCGACAAAUUUGUCGGAAACAACUCUAGAAACUCACGCACAACUGGUACUGAAUCCGUGGAAGGAACCUCCGCACUAGGAUCAUGGAUAUAGGCCAAAUAUGCUAGACACCCCUUCUCGACCAAGUAGGUUAAUAAAGUCAUGUUAUUAAUUUAAAAACCUGAGAUUGCUAAAGUUAAGUUGUUCUAAAAAACAAAAGGUAUCGCUUAGUAUAAAAUAACUAAAAAAUAAAGUGUGACGCUUCAAUAAAUUGAUUAGAAGAAAUACAACCUUUUUCUUAUAAGUUCGAACCUGAUCGAUAGCGUACCGCUUGUUUGGACUUGAAGGGAACCAAUGCCUUGGGAUAAUAGUAUUGAUAGGGCUGACAAUCUUCCAUCACGAUGGGUAAAAUUUAAAAGAGCAGGCGCAAAUACAAGAAUUUAUGUAACGUAUAAUUUUUUUUAAGGAACCAUUGUAACGAGGGUAGCUCUAAUCAAAUCAGCUUUUCAAGUGAUUCCUCGCAUAAUAACACUCAAAUUGGGUUCGGCACAUAUAAGCUUCACCUUCUGACUGAGCGGGACGACAAUUUUUGUGAAAUAAAAUAUACAGACCCAUAGAGUAUAACUGUAGAGUGUCGACUAUGAUGCAUGUGGGCAUAUCAACAAUUAUUAUUUGUGACUUGUAAAAUCUCGCGAAUCUAUCCCAAUAAAGUUUUUAACAACCAUGCCUCGAAGCAACAUCGACUAGUCAGAAUUUGACAUUAACAGAAAGAAUAAAUAUCAUAGCAAAAGAAAAAUAUCGAUUGGAUAAUUGUAUUGAGUCUUCUAUACUAUAAAUUAGUAAAUUCUAAUGAUCACAAUUAUAUUGUGUUAGUUGAAUAUGAAAGUUAAUAGCUUUAUAUAAAUUAUUGUAUACCACAAAUUUGCAUAAACACGCCAUACUUGUUUAUAAAAAAGUUGAUGCCACAAAAUAUAAUAUAUAACGCAAUACAUAACACAAAACAUAUAAUAUGCUACGAUCACUACUAUUGUGCGGAUACUACAUAAUACAUAAAACUAUCACAGAUUAAUCUAACCAACAAUAAAAUAUUUUCGGAUAACAAAUAAAACUAAUAAACCACACAUUAGCUUUACACAAUUCCUCAGUUUUCUAUCUUAAUUUCAACUGUUCUUUCAAAUGAUUCCUCUCUUGUUCGGUUUCGUUCAACAUAUUUUUCAAGUAUUUUCUUCUUUGUUCGAAUACUUUCAACAUCGUUCUAAGAAGAUCCAUAUCUUAUUCGACUUCUUUGAACCUAAACUGUAGUUCAAACUAUACAUUAUAUUGUAAGUUUGUUGUAUCAACAUCAAUCGCAAGCCUCCUUAAUCGCCGACAACACCAUACUAGUUCAAUUUUAUCUUCAUGCCAAUCCCGCCACCUAAAAUAGUUGCACGCCCCGUUAUCCUACAACAUAUAACAAACAAUUAAAAGUGGUUGAAUAUAUAUAUAUAUACUAUAUAUAUUUUUCUUUUUCGAAAGACACAAUUUUCUCACUUUUUAAAGUUUACAACCCCAAAAUCUUCGACUCGGAUUUGUAUCUGUUUUGGAGGUCUUCAACCUACAGUAUUGUGUACAAUAGCAAACAUCAGGUUCUGCGGAUAUCAUUGAGCUUUGGGACGCCUGCGACAUAGCUAAUCUAAAAGAGGAAGCUAAAAAAGAGAUAAAAAUAGAAAAUAAGUUGAAGCAGAUGUGCAGAAUAAGCAGAUUAGUAUAGGCCAUGGGAGGCAUACGCUAUAUUAGUCAAACAUGACCAAACGUCCAUUAAGGUGGGACGUUAGGCUAGACGUAUAUAGCGCAUCUGAACAAUCGUUCCUUAAAAAUAAUUACGCAUUACUUUGAUUCCGAACUCCAGAUGCAAUAAACUUUCUUUCACUAAAGGAUGUCCAUAACAACAUAAUAUUUUAAAUAAAAUGGAAGAUUACUAGCAGAACAACCACAUCACUAAACUAAUAUAUUCUUCAAAGUUCUACAGUUUUCUUAAUAUUAUUCAGUAUUUUUGAAAAAUCACACUUAGUAUCAUUCAGUUUAAGAGAAAUUAAUUCUGAUCACUUAUAUUGUUUUUGUUGCACAUGCACGUGUCUAAUUGUCUAUCCCAGUUCUUCUGUUGUUAUGCAAUUUCCUUUCACAUUCUAGAGUUGUAAUCUUUCAGUUAUUAAGAUCAAUAUAGUAUUAGUGUAAGGUUGUUAAAAUACCUUAGUGUUUGUGUUAGGUAAUUCAGGCUGUUACACACGACUUGCCAUUUAGUUUGCCUUGUUAUUAGUUUCGUCACUCACAAUAACAACAUUUUGUUAAAUCAAUCAGCUUCAGGUUUUUAUUGUGAUUCACAGAAGUAACAUAUACUAACGUUAUUAUACCUGUCGUUGCAGCUCCACAAUUAACCUUUUCCAUUUAAAUUUUCAAAGAACAUUUCUUAAAACGUUGCUCUGAGAUCAGACCUAUACUAUUUUGGCCAGAUUUCAAAAUUUUAUUUAGGUUCACUAAUUUGUUUAACUAUUUAAGUUAAAGAUUCCAUGUAACACUCUGUUCUCGAUCCUUUAUUAAUUUAUUGUUUUAGAAGAAGGUUAAAAGUAAUACUUUACUAUUAGUAAGGUUGAAGCUUCUAUGCUGAUGGAGUAUCCAUUAGAGUGUUUAAGAACAAUCAAGGAAGAGGAUUUCCAUCCCAGUCAUGGAUUUACAUAGUGGGAAAUUGCCACUACAACAAAUUUGGCCUAAGGCUACACUUAUUUUAGACCAUGCUUGAUAAUGUCACGAUCCAAAAUCCGCAUGUCGUGAUGGCGCCUAUCUCAAUACAAGGCAAGCCGACAACUUCAAUAAACCACAAUUUCUUUUAAGUUUGAAAAUAUAAUAUUUAAAUUUAAUAGAAAAUCCCACAAUCUUUUUGAUACAAAUACACUCCUAAAAUCCGGUGUCUAAAUAACAACACAGUCUAACUAAUAGAAAUACUGUCUAAAAAUAUAGAACAACACAAUAACUGAAGAGGGAGAGAGUCAAGGUCUGCGGACGCCAAGCAGCUACCUUGAUAGUCUCCAACAUAUAAAUCCCCGAAUCUAGCAACCGUCAUAUUCGGAAGAACCUGGAUCUGCAUACGAGGUGCAGGGUGUAGUGUGAGUACAUCCAACUCAAUAAGUAUAUCAAAUAAACAGGCAAGGUAAGAGAAGCUUAAUUUGUUGAAUUCACCAGUUAAUUCAGUACAACUAUAUCCUGCUCAAUAGUAUUAUGGCAUGUAGGGGAAAGAAAACCAGUAAAUCAGAUAAUGAUCGAGAAAAUACAAGUUUCACACAUUGCACGGACAACUCACAUGCGACACGGACAACUCACGUAUCAAUAAUAUCAAUAUAUGGAUCCGCACGGACAACUCACGUGAUAAAGAAUUAAUAUGUAGAUCCGCACGGACAACUCACGUGCUAAAGUAUCAAUAUAUGGAUCUGCACGGACAACUCACAUGUUGUACGGACAACUCACGUUCCAAAGUAUCAUGCAAUAGCAAUAACGUAAGGGUACAGUUAUAUAAUGACUGAAAUAAGAUUCCCAUAUCUCUGGACUGGUAUAAAUGACAUGCUAAAGUGUAGGCAUGUGCAAAGUGUGCUAUCGUAAUAAAUCUGGAGAUUUCAUCAAUAAAAAAUAUUUAUGAAGUUUGUUCAGGAUUUUUACCUCUGAGUAACCACAUCAUAGUUUAAUCAGAUCACAUAAAUUGUUACCACAUAUUAGAUAUCGAAGCUCGAAACUUAACAGUCAUUCCUGGGCUUAUAGGAGUCCGAGCACAACCCAAACAUAAAUACACAACCCCGGUGCCUGUACAUGGGACUAUCCCCACAUAUGUGCGCACUCAAAAGCACGUGUCUAUCACAACAAUUUAGGCAACUAGUGCCUUAACCGAAUUUAAAUACGAUACUUACUUCAAACUGAGCAAUUCUUUAUUCCAAUAUGCCUUUGCCUAGCGAAACGGCCUCUGAACGCCUCGAAUCUAGUCACAAUUUAUUCGACACAGUCAACACAAAUUAUAGGAAUUAAUUUCAUAUAAAAAUACUAAUUUUUCAACAAAAUCCGAAAUUACACUAAAAAUUAUCACUGGGGCUCAUAUCUCGUAAUCCGACGAAACUCAUCAAAUCCGAUAACUCAUUCAAUUACGAGUCUAACCAUACUAGUUUCACUCAAAUCCGGUUGCGAAUCGACAUUCAAAUCCCAAAAAUUUAUUUUAUGAAAUUUCUACAAUUUUUCCAAAAUUUUUAUCUCAAAAUACUAAUUAAAUGAUAAAAAUAAUGAUAUAUUCAUGUAUAUUAACUAAAUCAAAGUUAGAAUCACUUACCCUGAUGAAUUUCUUGAAAAUCCCACGAAAAAUUGCUACAAACCAAGCUCCCAAAGUCCAAAUAUGAAAUAAUACUCUAACCCUCGUUCAUAUAAUACAAAAUUUGAUCUCCCAUUAUGCUACCCGUAAAAUUUGUUGCGGUCCGCACAUGUAAGGUCUCUACGACCGCAACCCAAAUUGUGCAGUCACAGUUCAGCAACAUCUGUACUACCAGGCUUUAAUAAAUUGACCAUAACUUUCUAUAAAAAUAUUCAUAUGAUGAAUGGUUUACUUUUCUGAAAACUAAAGCAAAUGGCUACAACUUUCAUUUUUGGGUCAUCUCCAAAUUUCUUAUAUAUCAAAAUAUAUAAGCUUCCGAAGUCAGACCAUCAAACCUGCAAAUUCUCCUUUUUGCGGCCGCAAGAGGAUUUCUGCGGCCGCAAGAGGAUUUUUGUGGCCCGGAACAUCAUCAGAGUGCCGAAAUGCCCAAACUUGUUCAAAACUCGCCCCAAAACAUACCCGAGGCCCCCAGGACCUCAACCAAAUACACCAACAAGUCCUAAAAUAUCAUACUGACUUAGUCGAAACCUCAAAUCUCAUCAAACAACGCUAAAAACACGAAUCAUACGCCAAUUCAAGCCUAAUAAAAACUAACAAUUUUUAACUUUUACAUUCAAUGCCGAAACCUAUCAAAUCAAGUUCGAUUGACCUUAAAUCUUUCACACAAGUCAUAAAUAAUGAUACAGACCUAUUCUAAUUUCCUGAAUCGAUAUCCGACCCCGAUAUCAAAAAGUCAACUCCUCGGUCAAACUUUCAAACUUAAAUUUCCUAUUUUCGCCAUUUCAAGUCUAAUUUAACUACGGACUUCCAAAUAAUUUUUCGGACUCACUCCGUUGUCCAAAAUAACCAUACAGAGCUAUUGGAAUCAUCAAAAUUCUAUUCCGGGGUCGUUUACAUAUGAGUCAACAUCCGGUCAACCUUUUCAACUUAAGUUUUCACUUUUGAGACUAAGUGUCUCAAUUCAUUUCGAAACUUCACCGGACCCGAAUCAAUUACCCCGACAAGUCACAUAAUAACUGUAAAGCAUAAAAUGAGCAAUAAAAGGGGGAACAACGCUGUAAUACUCAAAAUGACCGAUCGGGUCGUUAUAUUCUCCCCCUCUUAGACAAGCGUUCAUCCUCGAAUGGGUUUAGAAUUAUACUUGGAGUCUCAAAUAGGUGUGAAUAUUUGCUCUGCAUCUCCCGCUUAGUCUCCCAAGUAGCUUCUCCGACUUUCGAACGUGCCGGUCCAAAAUGGCCACCGGCUCCACAUCAUAAGUCAAAUUACCAUCCAACUGCACUGUAUUGAAAUCCAAAACAUGAGACGGAUCUACGACAUAUUUCCGGAGCAUAGAUACAUGAAACACUAGAUGAAUACCAGAUAGACUAGGCGGUAAAGCAAGUUCAUAAACCACCUCUCCAAUCUUCUUACGUAUUUCAAAAGGCCCAAUAUACCUAGGACUCAACUUACCCUUCUUAUCGAAUCUCAUAACAUCCUUCAUUGGCGAAACUCAGAGCAGUACCUUCUCUCUUACUAUGUAAGCAACAUUGCGAACCUUCCGGUCGACAUAACUCUUCUGUCUAGAUUGUGCCGUGCGAAGUCGUUCCUAAAUCAAUUUAACCUUUUCCAAAGCAUCCUAAACUAAAUCAGUACCCAAUAGCCUAGCCUCACCCGGCUCAAACCAACCCACUAGAGACCGACAUCGUCUCCCAUAUAAAGCCUCAUACGGAGCCAUCUGAAUGCUCGAUUGGUAGCUGUUAUUAUAUGCAAACUCUGCAAGCGGCAGAAACUGAUCCCGAGAACCCCCAAAAUCUAUAACACAAGCGCGUAGCAUAUUUUCCAAAAUUUGAAUAGUGCGUUCGGACUGUCCAUUUGUCUGUGGGUAAAAUGUUGUACUCCACUGAACAUGCGUGCCCAACUCUCACUGCACUGCUCUCCAAAACUAUUAUGUAAAUUGCGCGCCCCGAUCUUAAAUGAUGGACACUGGCACACGGUGAAGGCGAAAAAUCUCACAGAUAUAAAUCUCAGCCAACCGCUCCGAAGAAUAAGUAGUACCACCUGGAAUAAAAUGUGCGGACUUGGUUAAUCGAUCCACAAUCACCCAAACAGCAUCAAACUUCCUCAAAGUCUGUGGGAGCCUAACUACGAAGUCCAUGGUAAUACGCUCCUAUUUCCACUCUAGAAUUUCAAGUCUCUAAAGCAAUCUGCCCGGUCUCUGAUGCUCGUACUUCACCUGUUGAAAAUUUAAACACCGAGCUACAAACCCAACUAUGUUUUUCUUCAUUUUUCUCCACCAAUAGUGCUGUCUCAAGUCCUAAUACAUCUUAGCGGCACCGGAUGAAUGGAAUACCGUGAACUGUGGGGUUCUUCAAGAAUCAAUUCACGCAGUCCAUCUACAUUUGAUACAUAAAUCCGACCCUGCAUCAUCAACAUCCCAUCAUCUCCAAUAGUAACAUCUUUGGCAUCAUCGUGCUGAACUGUGUCCUUCAGGACAAGAAAAUGGGGAUCAUCAUACUGGAGCUCUCUGUUGCGGUCAAAUAAGGAAGACCGAGAAACCACACAAGCUAGAACCCGACUGUGCUCCGAAAUAUCUAAUCUCACGAACGGAUUGUCCAAGGUCUGAACAUCAACUGCAAGAUGCCUUUCACCAACAGGAAUGAAUGCAAGGCUACCCAUACUCACCGCCUUUCUACUCAAUGCAUCGACCACCACAUUGGCCUUCCAGGGAUGAUACAGAAUAGUAAUAUUAUAGUCCUUUAGCAGCUUCAACCAUCUCCGCUGCCUCAAAUUUAGAUCCUUUUGUUUUAAUAAGUGUUGAAGACUCCGAUGAUUUUUAAAUACCUCAUAAGACACACCAUAGAGAUAGAGCCUCCAAAUCUUUAAUGCAUGAACAAUGGCUGCCAACUCUAAAUUGUGAACAUGGUAGUUCUUUUCAUGUGGCUUCAAAUGGCGCAAAGCAUAAGCAAUAACUCUACCCUCCUGCAUUAAGACACACCCAAUAGCAGCUCCAACCAUCCUGGGAUGAUACAGAAUAGUAAUAUCAUAGUCCUUUAGCAGCUCCAACCAUCUCCACUGCCUCAAAUUUAGAUCCUUUUGUUUGAAUAAAUAUUGAAGACUCCGAUGAUUUGUAAAUACCUCACAAACACACCGCAGAGAUAGAGCCUCCAAAUAUUCAAUGCAUGAACAAUGGUUGCCAACUCUAAAUCGUGAACAUGGUAAAUCUUUUCAUGUAGCUUCAACUGGCGCGAAGCAUAAGCAAUAACUCUAUCCUUCUGCAUUAAGACACACCCAAUACUGAUCCGAGAAGCAUCACAAUACACUAUAUACGAGCCUGAAGCUGAAGGCAAAACUAUAACUGGAGUUGUGGUCAAGGCAGUCUUGAGCUUCUGAAAGCUCUCUUCACACUCAUCUGACCACCUGAAUGGAGAACCUUUCUGGGUUAAUUUAGUCAAGGGAAAUGCAAUUGACGAGAAACACUCCACAAAACGACGAUAAUAACCGGCCAAGCUAAGAAAACUCCAAAUCUCUGUAGCUGAAGAUGGCCUGGGCCAACUCUGAACUGUCUCUAUCUUCUUCGGAUCUACCUUAAUUCCUUCACUGGACACUAUGUGUCCCAAGAAUGCCACCGAACUACCAUAACUCACACUUAGAGAAUUUGGCAUAAAGUUUCUCCUCCCUCAGCCUUUGUAAUACAAUACUCAAGUGUUGUGCAUGCUCCUUCUGGAUACUUGAGUACACUGGGAUAUCAUCAAUAAAUACUACGACAAAUGAAUCAAGAUAUGGCUGGAAUAUAUUGUUCAUCAAGUGCAUAAACGCUGCUGGGCUGUUGGUCAGCCCAAAAGACAUCACGAGAAAUUCAUAGUGACCAUAGCAGGUCCUGCAUGUCGUCUUUAGAAUAUCCAAAUCCCGAAUUUUCAACUGGUAAUACCCAAAUCUCAAAUCAAUCUUAAAGAAUACACUCGCUCCUUGAAAUUGGUAUAAAUCAUCAAUACGCGGCAAAGGAUACUUGUUCUUGAUUGUAACUUUGUUCAACUGCUUGUAGUCGAUACACAUCUGCAUAGUGCCAUCUUUUUUUUGCAUAAAUAAAACUGGCGCACCCCAAGGAGUCACACUAGGCCUAAUAAACCCCUUAUCAAGAAGUUCCUAUAGUUGCUCUUUCAAUUCCUUCAACUCAGCUGGUGCAAUAUGAUACAAAGGAAUAGAAAUGGGCUGAGUGCGCGGCACCAAGUCAAUACCGAAAUCAAUAUCCCUGUUGGGUGGCAUACCCGACAGGUCUGCAGGAAAUACAUCCAGAAGGUCUCGCACUACCGGUACAAAAUCAAUGAUAGGAGUGUCUGCAUCAACAUCUCUCACAAAGUCUAAAUAUGACAAACACCCCUUCCCAACCAUCCAUUGGGCCUUCAAAUAAGAAAUUACCCUGCUGGGAACAUAAUCUAGAGAACCUAUCCACUCGACCCUUGGCAACCCCGGUAUCGCCAACGUCACAGCUUUUGCAUGACAGUCGAAAUAACAUGACAUGGAGAUAUCUAAUCCAUACCCAAGAUUACAUCGAAAUCAACCAUACUAAGCAAUGAGAGAUCAGCUCUAGUCUCCAGCUCCCUAAUAGUUACCACACAUGACCGAUACACACGGUCCACAAUAAUGGUAUCGCCCACCGACGUAGACACACGAACAGUUAAAACUAAGGACUCACGGGGUAUAUCCAGGUAACAGAAAAAAUAUGAUGAAACAUACGAAUAUGUUGAACCAGGGUCAAAUAAUAUAGAAGCUUCCAUGUGGCACACUGGAAAAUACCUGUGAUCAUUGCAUCUGAAGCGACAACAUCUGGCCUUGCAGGAAUAGCAUAGAAUCGGGCCUGACUGCCACCUGAUCGGCCUCCCCCUCUUGGGUGACUCCUAGUUGACUGAGCCCCUCCCCGAGCUGGUUGGGUGGGUGGUGGAACUGAUGGUGCCGGUACUAUCGACUGAGAACUCUACUGUGGAGUCCUAUUCAACAAUCUAGGGCAAUCUCUCUUAAUAUGACCCAAGUCCCCGCACUCAAAACAACCUAUACUAUGAAGGAGCUGCUGGUCCUGAUAACCCAAGGCACUGCCUGUAGAAACCAGAGCAGACGAGGCAUAGCGAGAACUCUGCGCUGGUAGUGCACUGAAUGAGGACUGGCCUGUGUGAGCACUGUAAAAAUCGUGGUUGUCUGAUGCACCACGCUAGGCUGAACCAGCCAUCUGAGCGGGCCUUAAGGAUAACCCCUGUUGUUGUAGGGCUAUCCCCCAAAAUGAACACUACUGGGAUUACCCGGACCAUGAGACCUCUUGGCCUCCCUCUCCUUACGCUCCUGAAUACAGACCAUCUCUAGCCGCCGAGCACUAUCAACCACCUUAUCGAAUUUAGCACCUGCUACAUUCCCAGAGUCAUAACAAAAUGGAACUGCUGGUUGAGGCCAUUAAUGAACCUCCUGAUCUUCUCCCUCUUAAUGGGACCCAACCAAACUGCAUAACGAUCCAAUUCUGAAAACUGCAUCUCAUACUGAGUCACGGACAGGUCCUCCUAACGUAAGUACUCAAACUGUCUGCGCAGUUCCUCUCUGCGGGUCUGUGGCACGAACUUCUCCAAAAAUAAUACGGAGAACUCAUGCCAUGAAAGUGGUGUUGCACCAACUGGUCUGCUCAUCUCAUAAGUCUCCCACCAUCGGAAAGCUACUCCGGUCAGCUGAAAAGUAGUAAAUGAGACCCCACUAGUCUGCAGAAUACCCGCUGUACGAAGCAUCCGCUGGCACCUGUCCAAGAAUUCAGGAGCAUCCUCUGACUCAGUUCCACUAAAAGUUGGAGGAUGGAGUCUCCCAAACCUCUCUAAUCUCUUCUGCUCCUCGUCAUUCAUAAUAGGACCCACCUGGGUCUGAGGAGCUACAACUGACUAGACUGGUAGUGACCCCGGUAUCUUAAGUCCCUGCACUACCUGCUCUGGAGUACGGGCGAUAGGGGUAUGAGUACUUCCCCCGGCCUGAGCAAAAACACCUGAGCAAGGCCAGUGCAAACAGUCAAUAUCUGUGCUAGAGCCUCCUGAAGGCCUGGAAUCACAAUAGGCACAGCUGGUGCCUGAGCUGGCCCCGCCGGCUCAACUAUAUCUGGAACCUGCUCUUGAGCUAGAGCAACUGGUGGUUCUACAUGUUCUGCUCCAACUGCUGUACGAGCUACACCUCAACCUCUACUACGACCCUAGCCUCUCGCGGUCCUAACUGGUGGCACCGGUGGCUGACCGUUCGAUCCGGUAGUACGCGUCCUCACCAUUUGUGAGAGAAUAGAAUAACAGAAAUUUAGUUUCCAGAAUCAACAAAUUCGCACGAUAGAAUACAAGAAAGUAAAAUUUUCCUAAGGGUUCGACAGCCUCUCGAAGAUAAGUACAGAUAUCUCCGUACCGAUCCGCAAGACUCUACUAAACCUGCUCAUGACUCGUGAGACCUAUGUAACCUAGGAUGUGAUACCAAUUGUCACGAUCCAAAAUUCGCAUGUCGUGAUGGUGCCUAUCUCAAUAGUAGGCAAGCCGACAACUUCAAUAAACCACAAUUUAUUUUAAGUUUGAAAAUAUAAUAUUUAAAUUUAAUAGAAAAUCCCACAACCUUAUUGAUUCAAAUACACUCCCAAAAUCCGGUGUCACUGAGUACAUGAGCAUCUAAAUAAUAACACAGUCUGACUAAUAGAAAUACUGUCUGAAAUUAUAGAACAUCACAAUAACUAAAGAGGGAGAGAGUCAAGGUCUGCGGAUGCCAAGCAGCUACCUCGAUAGUCUCCAACAGAUAAAUCCCUGAAUCUAGCAACUAUCGUAUCCGGAAGAACCUGGAUCUGUACACGAGUUGCAGGGUAUAGUGUGAGUACAACUAACUCAAUAAGUAUCGCAAAUAAAUAUGGCAAGGUAAGAGAAGCUUAAUUUGUUGAAUUCACCAGUUAAUUCAGUACAACUAUAUCCUGCUCAACAAUAUUAUGGCAUGUAGGGGAAAUAAAACCAGUAAAUCAGAUAAUGAUCGAGAAAAUACAAGUUUCACACAUUGCACAGAUAACUCACAUGCUAACAAUAGAAUCUACAUAGACAACUCACGUGCUGCACGGACAACUCACGUGGUAAAGAAUUAAUAUAUGGAUUCACACGGACAACUCACGUAUUAUACGGACAGCUCACGUGUUUCACGGACAACUCACGUGCUAAAGUAUCAAUAUAUGGAUCCGCACGGAUAACUCACGUGCUAAAGUAUCAAUAUGUGAAUCUGCACAGACAACUCACGUGCUUCACGGAUAACUCACGUGCCAAAGUAUCAUGCAAUAACAAUAAAGCAAGGGUACAAGUAUAUAAUGACUGAAAUAAGAUUCCCCUGUCCCUGGAUUGGUAUAAAUGACAUGUUAAAGUGUAGGCAUUUGCAAAGUGUGCUAUCGUAAUAAAUGCGAAAAUUUUAUCAGUGAAAAACAUUUAUCAAGUUUGUUCCAAGAUUUUUACCUCUGAGUAACCACAUCAUAUCAGAUCACAUAAAUUGUUACCACAUAUUAGAUAUCGAAGCUCGAAGCUUAACAGUCAUUCCUGGGCUUAGAGGAGUCCGAGCACAACCCAAACAUAAAUACACAACCCCGAUGCUUGCACAUGGGACUAUCCCCCCAUAUGUGAGCACCCAAAAGCACGUGGCUAUUACAACAAUUUAGGCAACUAGUGCCUAAACCGAGUUUAAAUACGAUACUUACUUCAAACCGUGCAAUUCUUUAUUCCAAUAUGCCUUUGCCUUGUGAAACGGCCUCCGAACGCCUCGAAUCUAGUCACAAUUUAUUUGAUACAGUCAGCACAAAUUAUAGGAAUUAAUUCCAUCUGAAAAUACUAAUUUUCUAACAAAAUUCGAAAUUACACUCAAAAAUCGCCAAUGGGGCCUACGACUCGGAAUCUAAAAAAACUAACAAAAUCCGAUAACUCAUUCGGUUACGAACCAACCAUACUAGUUUCACUCAAAUCCGACUUCGAAUCGACAUUCAAAUCCCAAAAAUUUAUUUUAUGAGAUUUCUACAAUUUUACCCAAAUUUUUAUCUCAAAAUACUUAUUAAAUGAUGAAAAUAAUGAUAUAUUCAUGUAUAUUAACCAAAUCCGAGUUAGAAUUACUUACCCCGAGGAAUUUCUUGAAAAUUCCACGAAAAAUCGCCACAAACCGGGCUCCCAAAGUUCAAAUAUGAAAUAAUACUCUACCCCUCAUUCGUAUAGUACAAAAUCUAAUCUCCCAUUGAUUUUUCCGCAAAAGUUUUGUGCGGUCCGCACAUUUAAGGUCUCUGCGGCCUCAACCCAAAUUGUGCGGUCGCAGUUCAGCAGCAUCUGUACUAUCAGAUUUUAGUAAAUUGACCAUAAUUUUCUGUACAAAUAUCCAAAUUAUGAAUGGUUUACCUUUCUGAAAACUAGACUUAAAGAGAUACAACUUUCAUUUUUAGAUCAUCUCUAAAUUAUUUAUAGAUGAAACGAUAUAAGCUUCCGAAGUUAGACCAUCGAACCUGCAGAUUCUCCGGCCGCAAGAGCAUUUUUGCGGUCCGCAAUUUUCCUCUGCGGUUCGCAAUUUUGCUCUAAGGUCUGCACAUGAGGCUUUGCCUCCGCACUCCAAAAUGUGCCCCCAUACUCCAACUGUUCCCAGAACACCAUGAGAGUACCGAAAUGCCCAAACUCGUUCAAAACUCGUCCCGAAACACACCCGAGGCUUUCGGGACCUCAACCAAAUACACCAACAAGUCCUAAAAUAUCAUACGAAUUUAGUCGAAGUCUCAAAUCACAUUAAGCAAUGCUAAAACACGAAUCAUACCCCAAUUCAAGCCUAAUAAAAAUUAAUAAUUUUUAACUUCUACAUUCAACGUUGAAACCUGUCAAAUCAAGUCCGAUUGACCUCAAAUUUUAUACACAAGUCAUAAAUGACGGUACAGACCUAUUCCAAUUUCCAGAAUCGAAUUUCAAUCCCGAUAUCAAAGAGUCAACUCCCCGGUCAAACUUUCAAACUUAAAUUUUUUAUUUUCGUCAUUUCAAGCCUAAUUUAAUUACGGACUUUCAAAUAAUUUUUCGUACUCUCUCUUAAAUCCAAAUACACCAUACAGAGCUAUUGGAAUCAUCAAAAUUCUAUUCCGAGGGUUUUACACAUAAGUCAACAUCCAGUCAAUAUUUUCAACUUAAGUUUUCACCUUUGAGACUAAGUGUCUUAAUUCAUUCCGAAACCUCACCGAACCCGAACCAAUUACCCUGGCAAGUCACAUAACAAUUGUAAGGCAUAAAAUAAACAGUAAAUGGGGGGAUGGAGCGGUAAUACACAAAAUGACUGGACGGAUCGUUACAGAUAAGCUUUCCCAAAAAUAUCUAUGGGAACGCUUUUGUAAGGGUGACCUUUAGUAAUUGCUUUUGGCCACAGUUUUUAGGCAACACUAGUAAAUAUUGUCUUUAACUAUAAAGAGCACACUUUUUAAGUGAUGGCACAUCAUAUAUAUUUGUCUAUAUCUUGAGAAAACUUAAUAUAUAUCUAACUCUUAUAUGGAAUUUGAAAUUGUUGUAGGGGGCGUAGUUGAUAGUAAAUAUAUAAUCCACCAGGGCAUUCAAAGUUUGGUGUGCCAUCUUUAGAAAAGGUAAUGUUCUGCACUAUAUCUAUAGAAGCCAUGUCGUUAUUGUUAUGGUCAUAGUUUUCAUAGUGAUCUUAUUAGAAGUUUAUAAACUUCUAAUAAAACAAACUACACUUUUUUGUUUAUAAACUUCCUUUCUAAUCAUUAUUGAAAGUUCAUUGUGAAAAAAAGAAUAUUUUUUUUGUUUCACUAAAACAAGGGCCUGAGCUCGGAGACUCACUUCAAGUAGUGAUAUCAGGUACGCUUUUCCUGCUACUUUUAUUUUGAUAUAUGAUGAUUGUGGUUGAUUAAUUAUCCUCCUUUAGCCUUAAAAUUACGUAGGACUCUUACUGCAACAUAGAUUUUCUUGAAAUGUUUGCCUUUGUAAACAGUGCCAUGACUUCCUUCUCCUAAGUUUUCACUAAAAUCCUUUAUUUUCUUAAUAUUAGCCUAAGAAUAUCUAGUUGCUCUUAUAACCUUGUAGUCUUCCAAAAACUUUCAAGUCUAACUUGACCCUCUCCUCUUUAUUUUUACUUUUGUCAAAUUGAACUGAUAAACUGAGAGAAUAAUAGUGAAAACAAGAAAGUUACCUAAAGUUGCACCUACAAAAUUGAAUUAGAAAACGUCUUAAGUAUGAAGGAAAAUCAAAUAGGAAAUGAAUAGAGUAAGAACUUCGAAGAAGUUGAGAUAUUGAGAAAACUGACCUGCAAUCAAGGGCUGCUUAGUAAUAUCUUUUGUGCACAAAUUUAUAGUUUCUGUGAAGUGUUUUGUUAUCCAUUGCAAUGAUGGAAAAAGAAAAAAAAUGUAAGAUAUAUAUAAUAAGACAAUUGCUUGAUUCUAUCCUUGAAACUACAAUCCAAUCUUUUGAACUCACAUAGAAAGUCUGUCAAAGUGAUCUCUAUUUAUAUGCGGAUUAAGAUUAACUAUAUUGUAUUUUAGUCUUUACCUUGGUAACACUUUUCUCCUUAUACAUCUAGAUAGAUAUUAUGUACUGCAUUUUUUUGUCUUUGCUUUCUAUGAAACAUCUUCACAACAGGAUAUAACAGGGUGCGUCUAAUCUAACCUACCUUAUUCGAUCAAUGCGAGUAGUGUACGGGGUUAUGUGAGGCCAAAUUCUUCCACAUUCCUCUGGUUCGACUUAUAUCUGAUUCUUGAAAAGGUAUUUUUCUAUUAUUUCAAGUUAUUUUUUGGAGUUACAAUGACAUAUUACAUUCCUUUUAGGUCAAUUUUAGAUAGUACAAUGCCAAACUUGAUCCUUUUUCUUGUUUGCUUAAAGGGUUAGACACCAGUUGUUUAGAAUUCUAUAGAGAAAGUAUCUAUAGUAUAUCCUUAUAAAAAAGGAGAGUCUAUAAUAUACUUUAAAAUGCUGAAAAAAUGAGUAGCUAAGGAAAAAUAUGUUAAAAGAGCAUAAAGUAGUAUAACUAUCAACUAACGUUGAGAUGGUAAAGUGGUCAAGUUGAAUUGGAAAAAAUGAAGAGGUAACCCAUCAUGUAAUGUAUCAACCCCUAGGAGGAUGCCACUCAUAAACACUAAUGUAAUACUUAUAAAUUUAAACAUUCUUUUAAUAAUAUAAACUAGCAAAAAAACAAAUAUGCCCAUGAAUGCAUAUCUAAGUGUAUCAUAUGGAUCAUGUACAAGUCCCCCAAAAUAUACAAAAAAAAAUACAUAUGCCUAAGCAAGUGUGAUAUUUAUCUAAUCUUCCAAAGAGUCUACUUCAAAUGAUGUCCUCAAGCAUCUCCCGGCACAUCACCUACGAUAGUAACAAACUAUCGCUAAGCAUAAAGCUUAGUGGCACAUAAACUUAACUAACCUUUCAUAAUUAAAGAAAGAUAAACUAUAAAAUGAAUACAAGGAAUAAGUUCUAGAUAUGAGCUUAUUAAAAUCAACAUCAAGUACUUAAUGAAGGUACAAUCAUCUCAAGAGGGCUAAAUAUUAAAUUAUAAAAUAGUUCAAGAUACCAUUAUUCAAAAUCUCAAAUGUCAAGAAGAGUUUCAACUAUAAUCCGAGAAAGUCCACCGAUUAGUUGAUUUGCCCAAUACAUGCAUCAUGCAAUUAUAUCAAAGCAUAAUCAAGUAACAAGGAGGACCAGAGUCCUAGAUCAAGUAGGGUCGUUAUCCAAUUAUCAAGAGAAUCAAGAGCCAUAUUGAAAGUGGCUUUCCCAUCCAUACUCAAAAUGAACAAAGUUCAUGAUUAAGAUGGAAUGUGAAUCCAAAGUCAAGAUGGGUCAAGAUCCAAACAAAAGUCAUGCCAAUAUAAGUGACAAAGACACUAUCACAAGAGGGACAAAAUCUGAACAAGAAUGCAAUGAUGCUCAAGCAAUCCGUAUAUGUGGGCGAGUUAAAUUAUCUUUCAAAAAUAUUUUACAUGACGCCCAUAUGAUUUUUAACAUAUUCAUUACUCAAUUAUAAAAUUAUACCCUCAAUGAUCAUUGAUAUAUCAAAAUGUCUCAAGAUAUUCUUUCUCAAGCAACAAAGCAAGUAAACUAGUAAAGUAGCAACAAAGUCAAUAUGAUAACAAAUUUAAAGUAAGGUAAAAUUUCACCAAACCUUAACCACUUACAAUAUCUCAACAAAUUAAAUUGAAAGAAACACUCAAGUUUAUGUGCAAACCUUGGAGCUUUAGUGUUUCUAAAGCUCAAAUGACAUCAAGGGAUUUAAGAUCCUCUAAGCCAAGAAAAGAGCGACUUUCCUAAAGUGUGCUCCUUAGCUCGAAUGAAUGUCUCUUGUACCUUAAAUACGUAAUCAACACUCACUUAAGGUCUGAAAUUUAAAGAUGUUUAAACCAAAUCAUGAUGAAUAUCAAAAGGGGGAUUAAAUGGGUCACAACAAUUUGUCUUGUUGUUGGCAAAUUGAUAACAAUCUGAUUUAUGUUACAAUUGAGAGCAUGUGACUGUUGCCAGGCGGAUUAUAAAAUAAAACGUGGGCACGAGGUGCCGUGAGUAAAUGAUAAUGAUAUUUGGCACGUGAAUUGUCUGUGCAGUUGUGAUAUGAAAUGAGGGCACGAGGUGCCGGAAAAAUAUGCUGAUUAAAUUAUGGGCAUGAAGUGCCGUGAAAAUAUGAAAAGGGCUGAGACCCAUAUUUUNNNNNNNNNNNNNNNNNNNNAUUAUGAAAUGAGGUGUCACAAUGGUGACUUUUAAUUGUAAAGAAUUAUAUUGAAAAUAUUUAUUUGAAAGUAUUUUUAUUCUAAAAGUAGUAUUUGAAGGAAUUGUAUGUGAAAGAUAUUUAUUGAGUAAAUUAUAUUUGAAAAAGAUUUAUUGAAAGAAUUAUAUUUGAAGGAUAUUUAAUUGAAAGAAUGAUAUUCAAAAUAUUUAUUUGAAAGAAUUAUAUGUGAAAAAUAUUUAUUUGAAGAACUUGGUUUAAUUGGGUGUACUUCUAUUUAUUACUUGUUGAGUAAUAUUAAUAGUGUUCUUGUUACCAUGCCGAGCAUAUCACUAGUUAAUUUGUGUUGCACUUAUUGUUAUUUGUUUCCUAUUAUUUUGUAUAUUAUAUUGCACAGGUUAUUAGACUAGUGAGUGUAUUGACUGUACCUCAUCUCUACUCCACUGAGGUUAGUCUUGAUACUUACUGGGUACCGAUCGUGGUGUACUCAUACUACACUUUUACAUAUUUUUAUGCAGAGUCAGGUAUUGGAGUUAUUGGACUCAGACAAAGUUAAAGUGUGAUUGCAAGAGUUCAAGGUAGAGUUGUUUGGUCGUCGCAGUCACUUGAAGUCUUUUCAUUUUAUUGGACUGUUAAUUAUUAAUCAAACAGUAUUGAGUAUUAUAUCCUCGAGAUCAUUUCAUGUAUUCAGUUAGAGUUCGUGACUCAGUAUUACCAGUCUUGGGAGAGGCUACAGAACUGUUAGGAAAUUUCCACUUCUUUCAUUCUUGUCGUGCAGAAUUUGUUAAAUUUGGAAUUUGAGCCUUUGCAUCUCUAUUCUCUCACAGAUGGUGAGGACACGUGCUACCGGGUCAGCUGACCAGGUACCCGUGCAUACUGCUUGGGCCGCAAGAGGCCGGGACCGGGGUAGAAGCCGAGGAAGGACACGUGUCACAGCUAGAACAUCGGUUAGAGGAGUAGUUAAGGAGCCGCUAUUAGCUCCAGCUGGGGGACAGGUACGCGAAGCACCUGUUGUUACCCUCGGGCUUCAGGAGACUUUAGCACAGUUCCUGAGUAUGUUUGGUACAUUAACUUAGGCGGGAUUGAUCUCUGUUGCACCAAAUAUUUCGCAGAUUGGGGUAGUAGCUCAGACUCUUACCACAACUCCUGAGCAGUAGGUUCACGUUGGUCAGGUUCCGGGUGUGGUGCCGGUACAACCUGUUAUUCCGGUUCGGCCUGAGGUCAGGCCAGAGGCAUCAGAAGAAGAACAAAAGAGACUUGAGAGGUUUAAGAGGUAUAGUCCACCUACUUUCAGUGGUACAGCUACAUAGGAUGCCCAAGAAUUUAUAGAAAAUUAUCACCGUAUUCUCCGCACCAUGGGUAUUGUGGAAGUAAGCGGAGUUUUCUUUACUACAUUUCAACUGUUAGGCGCAGCGUAUCAGUGGUGGCAAAUCUAUGAGGAAAGUAGACCAGCCGAUGAAACACCACCAACUUGGGCUCAAUUUUCGGAAAUGUUCUUGAAAGAGUUUAUUCCCCAGACUUUCCGUGAUGCGUGGCGCACAGAGUUUGAACGGUUGCGUCAAGGCACUAUGACAGUGUCAGAAUAUGCUAUCAGGUUCAGUAAGUUAGCCCGUCAUACACCUAUAUUGGUUCCUACAGUUAGAAAGCAGGUCCGCAGAUUCAUUGAGGGGCUCGAUUAUGAUAUUAAAAUAUGCAUGGCUCGAGAGUUGCAAAUUGAUACUCCAUUUCAACAAGUAGUGGAGAUUACGAGGAAGAUUGAAGGUGUUCUAGGCGAGGAAAGGGAGUCUAAGGAGGCCAAAAGGUCUCGAAGCUCUGGAGGGUUUAGUGGAUUUUACUCUUCAGCUAGGACCUAUUAUAGCGGAGGCUCGAGCAUUCGGCCAGCUCAGUCCACAUAUCAGAUUACUCGGAGUGCUCCAGUAAGUUCUUACAAUGCACCACCGGCACGGGAUUCCUAUAAUAGUUAUUCCAGUUAUCCGAUACAGACUCAGUAUGAGCAAUCGCGACCUCAGAGGGGCUGUUAUGAGUGUGGUGACACUAGGCACAUUAUGAGAGAUUGUCCCAGACUUGGGAGGGGUGAAUUUUAUCAGAACACUCAGACUAUGGACCCAGUANNNNNNNNNNNNNNNNNNNNNNNNNNNNNNNNNNNNNNNNNNNNNNNNNNNNNNNNNNNNNNNNNNNNNNNNNNNNNNNNNNNNNNNNNNNNNNNNNNNNNNNNNNNNNNNNNNNNNNNNNNNNNNNNNNNNNNNNNNNNNNNNNNNNNNNNNNNNNNNNNNNNNNNNNNNNNNNNNNNNNNNNNNNNNNNNNNNNNNNNNNNNNNNNNNNNNNNNNNNNNNNNNNNNNNNNNNNNNNNNNNNNNNNNNNNNNNNNNNNNNNNNNNNNNNNNNNNNNNNNNNNNNNNNNNNNNNNNNNNNNNNNNNNNNNNNNNNNNNNNNNNNNNNNNNNNNNNNNNNNNNNNNNNNNNNNNNNNNNNNNNNNNNNNNNNNNNNNNNNNNNNNNNNNNNNNNNNNNNNNNNNNNNNNNNNNNNNNNNNNNNNNNNNNNNNNNNNNNNNNNNNNNNNNNNNNNNNNNNNNNNNNNNNNNNNNNNNNNNNNNNNNNNNNNNNNNNNNNNNNNNNNNNNNNNNNNNNCAGCUACUACCCCACGUGCACACCCAGUUAGGGGUGGAGGACAGACGGGUAAAGGGCUCCUAAGAGGUGGUAGCCUGACCCGUUGAUAUAAUCGCUAUGAUUUGGCUGAGGCCGAUACACCAGAUGAUGUCGUUACAGGUACGAUCCCGAUUUGUUAUAAAAGAAUAUUUUUCCUUAAUUUGAUUCGGAUCUGAAUAUUGAGGUGAGUCCUCCUAUUAUGCUCCGCUUAUGGGUGAGCUUCGUAAUUUUGUGACCCACUUAUAUGUUUAUCCCUGUUGGGAGAUUUGAAGAUGUGAGCCUGUGUCUGUCAUUUUUAUUUUUGGGAACCAUUGAGGGCUAUAAGUCCAAAAGUAAUUUUUAUUAUUCAUUAGAGUGGGUUUGAUGUGUUUCGGAAUAAUUGAUUCCAAUUUUAUGAAUUAUAUGCCCUACCGAUAUGAGGGUUCAAUAUAUGUUAUGAAAAAUAUUUACGAAAUUUAUUGAAAAGAAGAAAGAAAGGAAAUUGAAAUUUCAGUUGGCACAAUGUGCAAAAUACCUGUGAUUCGGAGUUGAGAACGAGAUCCUCGCAUUUUUAUAUGAUGUGAAAUAUUCAAUCCAGGCUACAAGCCACAGUGGAAGUUAUAUAAGGACGAGGUCUUUGUGGUGAAAUAUUUAUGAGUUUAAAUUCUCCCUUUUGUAAAGUUUAAUUUGUAAUAUAGUACUAAUAGGGAGUUAUGCCUGAUAGGCUUAUGUGAUAAUUCUUUUAUGUGUUUCUGUGCCAUAAUUGUGCUGUAAUUAUUGAGUUUUAGCCUAUGAGGUGAGUGUCUAGGUGGCGUUAAAUGUGACUCGUUAAGUCGGGUAAAUAGUUAUGAGGUCUCCAUGCCUCACAUUUUGCUGUCAGUGUUGUAAAAAUUCAAAACGAGGUUUUGGUUAAUAUGAAGUUAAUUGGCGAUAUUGUAAUCGAUUAUGAAUAACUAUUAAGACCAAAGAUGUGAUAAUGGGCAUAUAUAUGAUGUACUUUAUGUCCUAAUUUCAUUAUGAUAAUGUAGUUCUUGUAAUGUUGAGAUUAGUGUUAUUGAUGUAGACAUUGUGGUGCUUUGUGGGGUUGUGGAUGUAUUGUUAGGAGUUGUUUUGGUAUUGCUCUGGCAGGUGGAUAGGCCCAAUUACAGGGUAGACUCUACCGAAAUUUCUGAAAAAUUUGGGAGUUAGUAAAAUUUGGGGGAUUGAGACGUGCGAAAGAAGAGAUAAGUUAUGUUAUGUGUUUGAGGGAGAACUCCACUUCUCAUUCAAGGGCGAAUGAUCCUAAAUGGGGGAGAAUGUAACACCCCGGAAAAAAUUUCGAAGUACUUCAACACUAUCAAAAAAAUUGAUGUGUGUGUAGGCACGAGUUGUUAUAGCCAAUUGAGACUAAUACUGUGCGUUGAUGUGAAAAUCAGGCAUCUUGAAAAUGUUUGGAGUGUAAGAAAUUAGUUUUAAAGUUUAUAAGUAUGGAUAAAAGAAAUAAUCUCAACUGAGAUGGUGUUGUCGGACCCAUGUUAAAUUGCGGAACGUAGAAUCACCCACGAGUAUGUGUGUAUGAAAACACUCAGUAAUUUAAUGUCCUCAGAAAGAUUCUUGGCACGUUCGAGGACGAACGUAUGUUUAAGAGGUGGAGAAUGUAAUGACCCGACUUAUUUUUUUAAGAAUUAACGCCCGGUUCUGUGACUUAAGGUCUCGAGCAGCUUCGUAAUAUGUAUUAUGACCCGUGGGUGUGGUCGGGUCUCGAGCAGCUUCGUAAUAUGUUCAGAAAUAAAUUAAAAGAACAAUUCUUAUUUAGAAACUUAAAUGGAAAGAGUUGACCGGAGAGUUGACCUUUGAACAAACGACCCCGGAAUGGAAUUUUGAUGAUGUCAAUAGUUUCAUAUGGUGAUUUCAGACUUAGGCGUAUGCCCAAAUUUGGAUUUGGAAGUCCGUAGGAUAAUUCGACGCAAUUUGGCGAAAGUUGGAAAAUAGACGAUUUUCGGAAAGUACGAUCGAAGGUUGAAUUUUUGAUAACAAGGCCGGAAUCUGAUUCUGGAAAUUGAAAUUAUAUCAUUUAUGACUUGUGUGCAAAAUUUGAGGUCAAUCGGACUUGAUUCGAUAGGUUUCGGCAUCGAAUGUAGAAGUUGAAAAUUUCAUAAUAGAUUAAAGUUUCAAGUGAGUUCGCAUAACACCUAACUUCAAAUGAGCAUAACUCUCAUGAUACGAAGUGAUAUAUAGUGUAUUACCUAUCAAAUGAAAUAUCUUUGAGUCUAGUUUCUAACGUUUUAAACCGUUCAUCAUUUGGACAUUUCUACAAGAAGUGAUAACCAAAUUACCAAAGGCUGAAAAAAAAAAUAUAAUUUUGCGACCAAUUUUGCGAUCGCAGAAUAGUUAUGCGAUCGCGAAACUGCUUCUACGACCGCAAACUGGUCGCAGAAUGAACCAAAACAGCCCAGUUCUGGGCACCGAAUUUUGCGAUCAUUGUGUGGCCCGCAUACCCAUUCUGGGAUCCAUUAUGCGACCGCAGACCUGUUUUCGAAGGGUUAAUCUUUCUAUUUUCAUAACCCGACCUCAUUUUAAUAAAUAGCCUUUGGGACUUAUUUUGGGGUAUUUUUCUGAGGGUUUUAGAGAGAGGUAAGAUCAUUUUAGAUAGAGAAGGAGGGAACCUAGCAUUCUAAUCAUCCAAUCUUCAAGAAUCAAGGAAGCUAAUCAUAAGAUCUUCAUCUAAGAGGUAAGAUUCAACCCCUAGUCUUCAAAUUUCGAGUUUGGGGUAAAAGAUUGAUGAUUGGGAGUAUGAUUCUUGGGUGUAAGAGUAUUAUAUAUAUAUUCUUGUACCAAUAAGGUUUGUGGGAAGAUUGUUGAGAUCAAAUAAGUAAAGAUUGGAUUGUGGAAUAAAGAAAAUCUUGUAGAAGAACCUUGUAACCAAAUUUCUACAACUAGUGUUUGAUAAAAUACUCAAAUGAGCUAAAACCAUAAAAAUCUUCCUGAUUAUCGUUCACUUUUGUUAUGUUUCUAAAUUGAUUGAAGUUGCUAGGAUUUUCGGAACCUCGUAGUAAUGUAAGGAAGGCUCAAGAAAGAUUGGAACCGUCCGGAGGUCAAUUCACAUGAGAAAGUUAUUUUGGAAUAUCGGUCUAAAUUCAAAAAGGUAAGUAUCCUGCCUAACCUUGAGUGGGGGAAUUACCCCUUAGGCAUCGAGUCUUAUGUACCAUUUGUAAAAUAUAAAAAUCCGUGUACGCGAGGUGACGAGUACGUACUUGGGCUUAUAUGUGAAAAAUUUACUGAGUUAAAGUCUUGAGUAUAUUGUGUAGUAAAUUGGAUAAUUAUUGGCAUUUAUUUAAUCAUCUAUUUGCCAUACCUCAAUUCACAUUUAUUGAAUUUAUUUUUAUAUGACGAUUUGAUGUGAAUAUUACUUGUAUAUUUAUGUGAAUGCCGUGAGUUUUAUGGUUUGAUAUUUCUUGGAAUUUAAUUUUAUUAUGGAUUUUUCCUCUGCAAAUAAUAAAUUAAAUGAGUUUAAGAAGAGGUGUUUAUAUAAUUAUUGAGAAUUUGGAUUAAUGAAGGCGUUGCCUUAUGAUGAGUAAUUUCUAUCUCUGUUGAUUGUUUUUGAGGUCUUAUACAUAUUGUGUGGAAUCUUCGGCUAUUUGUUGUGAAAUUAAUUGAUUUGUUAUAUCUUUGGAAUUGAUUGUGGCCAUAGGGCAAAUUGUGUUAUGAAUUGAUUUUGUUAUGUUGCCGUGAUAAUAUUCUGUGUAAAUUGUUGAGUUAUUAUUUUGAGGAUAUAAGAGUGGCAUUUCACUGUUGAUAUUAUGUGGGUAUAAGGGUGGCAUUUCACUGUUGUUAUGUGUGUUAGGAUAUUGUCUGGGCGGAGCGAUAAGGGUGGCUAUAGGAGAGAUAAGGGUGGCUAUAGGAGCGAUAAUGGUGGCUAUCGNNNNNNNNNNNNNNNNNNNNNNNNNNNNNNNNNNNNNNNNNNNNNNNNNNNNNNNNNNNNNNNNNUAGGGUAUGGAGAAUUUCCAAACAAAAAGCCGAAACAGAGAAGUAUUAGCACUUAGGUUGUUUCUUAACUAACCUAACAUGAAUGUAUAAAAAUUCUAACUCUUUAAACUAUUGUUCAACUCUAAAAGAUAAGUAUUAGCACUUAAAUUAUUAUUUAUAUAAACAAGAAUUAAAUAAUUGAAGAAAAUACCCAAAUUAUUAUAAAUUUUUCUUGAUUUACUAUUGUAUACAUACAAGUAUACUAGCUAGUUUCACAAGAACAUCUAACUAAAAUUAUCCAUACUAUAUCUAAUUUAUAUAUACUAAAUCGCUAAAAGUAUAAGAAAAUAUUUUUAGUGUAUCUAAUUUAUACAUACUAAAAACAACUAGAAAUUGCUAAAAUAUUAAAAAGCAAUUAAGAACAAGAAAGUUUUCACACUAAAUUUGAAAUCCUUGAACCGUAUGAAACCCAAGAAAGAAGAUGCCAAUUACAAGCAAAAAAAAAUAACCUUGUACCAAAGCCCGCCGGAUUUACUUCACCGGAGAAAUUGCUGGACCACCAUCGGAGAAUAGAAGAGCCGUCGGAUUUACUGCACAAAAAAAGAGUUAAACAAAUUGGGACAAAAACAAAUUAUGGGGAAGGGGAGGGCGAUGGACGGGGGAGAGGGGGCUGGGAGAGGGAGAAGAGAGUGAGAGAGAGGGAAUUACUUACCUUGUAUUGAGAGAAGAAGGAAAAUAGAUCGGGUGGGAGAAGAAGAGGAGAGGGGAGAAGAGGAAUAAAAAAUAGAGAAGAAAGAAUGAAGAAGGAAAAACGGUUUUUUUUUGGGGGGGAGGGGGGGGGGGUUGUAUAAAAGGAUUGCGACUGAUUCGGUCGUAAUUAGAAAUUUUAAAAUUUAAAAUUGCAACCGAAUCGGUCGCAAACUCCUUGACCAGUCAAACCCAAUUUGUUUUAGCAUUUCCGACCAAAUCGGUCAGAACAUUUAUUUUAAUUUUUUAAUUUUUGCGAUUAACUUAGUCGGAAUUUCAAAAUUAUAUUUUCGCGGUAUUUUUCGCGUAAUUGAUCGACGGUCGCAAAUUUUCAGUCAAAAAUUUGCUUUUUUUUUAGUAGUGAUAUGAAUACAUACUAUAUAUUAUUUUUAAUUUUAAUUGUAUUUUGACUGUGUAGAAAAAUGCGGGUGAUGUAAUUUGAUAUGGUGGCCAUGAGUCAAUUUGAUCUGUGACUAUUGAAUAUUUUUGAACACUUGUGAUCUUUGAAUAUAUUCCACUUUGUACAGUUUAUUGCCGGUGCACAUUUUGGAAUAUUGCUUUAUUAGUAGGUGUAAUGCAAGAAAUAUGUUGGUUUUUCAAAGUUUAUUGCAAAUAAAUUCAUAUGAAUUAUUAUUUUUAGUGUUUUAUUAGCUAAUUUAGUGCUUGAGAUAAUCAAAAUGAGAUAAUAUUGUCUAUGCUUGAAAUAAAUAUGAUCGUAGUAUGUAAAAAAUGUAACUAAUAAAUCACAAAUUGUACCUUUUAUAAAUAUUAAAAAAAAUUAUUACAGCCAAACAAAAUUGCCACACUUAAAAAGCAUAGCCUAUAACAUAACAAAGGCUACACUUCAAACACGUAGCUUUAGAAAAAGAAAAUCGUUGCCAAUAAGGUAACAAACGCGUGGCCUUGAUAUCAUAUAGGCCACACUUUUGAAGCGUAGUUUUUAAAAUAAUACUUGAAAAACGUGCCCUUAAGAAAAAUGUUACGCUAGUUUAGGCCACUCCAGAAAAGCGUUGCCUAAAAUCGAAAAGUGUGGCCUUUGAUCAAAUGCCAUACUUUUUGAUAGUUUAACCUAUAUUUUUCGAAAGUAGGUAAAGGCCUAAAAUGUUGUAGUGCUAACGUGAGGAAUGACGUUUUAUAAUCUUACAGAAAAAAUAUAAACUUUCGUUCUGGUCAUAUUUUAUUUUUGACCGCUACAACAGAUAAAGUUUGAUGAUCAUAUGUAAAAUUUGCUGGAUUAAGCUAGUCUUAAAAUACUUUUAACAUGGUGUGUGUUGUCGGAUUUGAGCCAAAACUUACAGAUUUUGAAAAAAGGCCUCACAUUAUAUGUAGCUUUAAUUUCUUAUCAACUUUUGGACGUGAGACUUUGUUUUCGCAACUAACAAAAUUCCCGUAAUCUAUAUAUAUGUGUCUUUCAGAGAGAAUCGGCCUUCACUUUUCUCCCCACUGAAUUCGGUAGUGGGAAGCAAUAAUAUUACAGUUCAGUUAGUGGAUGUGUCCUGAAUCUGAUCAUCAUUCCCUAGUGGGAGUGUAACAGUGAGUUUUCACUACUUUCCAUUUCGGGCACAGGAAGAAAUCAAAAAACUUGGCUCACUAAUACAAAGCCAAUUUUCCCGAAAGAACAGUACAGGCCUGAGUACAUGGCAGAAAGCAGUGACAAGAAGUUGAUAUGACAGAGUUGUCUAAAGCUUAAAAAUAGGAAAGAAUGAUAGGUAUUAUAAUGAAUUCAUGAGUCAUGAAAUCCUAGCUAGCAUUGACAGCAGUUAUCAUUUUUCAACCUUCAAUGGGACACAAAAUAAUGGCAUUGUGGGGAUGCUAAUGGCCAUAAAACAGUGCCUAGCAAUAUACCUAAAAAGACCUAUACUAGGAUGCACAAUAAACACAUGCUAGAAUUUCUGAAAUGGGUGCCAGGACCUGAAAAUAACUGAAACUUUGCAAGGGAAGUGAUAGCUACACCUCCCUACCAUUCCCCAUAGGGCCAUCCCUUGAGUGGAGAAGGCGGUAAUCAUGGUCGUCAUUAAUGAAAAUAUGAUCUGGAUAUUGGAUAAUUGCGGCAAUUAAUUAUCUGUUGCAUAAAUAAACUUGAUUCGUCACAAGUACAUGGAGUUUCCUAGUUCAUGUAUUCCAAAAUUGUUAUAAGGACGCAUAUACGGUCUAGUGACCAUAUCAGAUCUUUGCAAGUCUACGAAGAAAGACUAAAGAAGGUGAAACAAGAAAUCGGACAAACAUGCAUGCUCAAGAAAAUAUUUGCAAACAAUAGAAUAUUAUCGGAUUCAUUACUUAAUUGGGAGACUGAGAUAAGUAAUUUAAUUAAUUACCUAAUAUGCGGGUCUAUUAGGUUUGUGGAACGAGAUAGAAUUUAGAAGGAGGAAGCAAUCGCAUCUAAGAACAGAGAAAAGAAAGCUAAUAAGGAAGAAAAUGAAUCUUCAUUUCUGUUAUUGACAGUUGUACAGUAACGUGUCCUCUUUAUACAAGUCUAACUACUGUAACUAACUACUAACUAUGGUUAGCUAACUAUAGUCUUCUAAACUAUGGUUAAGUUAUGUUACACUACUAACCACGUCACUUAUACUACUACACUCAACACCACCCCACCCACCCUCCCCCCAACCUAGAGAAGGUGAAGAUAUUCUCCAUCCCUAGCUUGGAUAAUAAGCAGCCAUGUUGAAACUUGCUCAAGCCUUUAGUGAGAAGAUCAGUUUGCUGAUCAGCAGUGUUAACAUAGACAGUGUGAAUCAACCCCGACUGAAUCUUUUCACGCACAAAAUGGCAAUCGAUGUAUGUGUGUUUGGUCCGUUUGUGAAAGACAGGAUUGACAACAAUCUGAAUUGCUGACUUGCUAUCAUUGUAUAUAGGAACUGGAGCUUGUUGAUCAACGCCUAACUCUUUAAACAGACUAAGAAGCCAAAUAAUCUCAGCUACCGUCAAAGCAAGACUCCUGUGCUCUACCUCAGCAGAACUUCUGGAAAUUGUUGAUUGUUUCUUGGAUUUUCAUGAAAUGAGGGAGUCAGCAAACUUCACUAAGUAUCCUGUUAUAUAUCUUCUACUGUUGGGACAUGCUGCCCAAUCAGCAUCACAGAAGGAUGAUAGAGAUCCAGAACAUUCAGCCUUCAUUAACACCCCCAGAUCAGGAUAGUGUUUAACAUACCUCACAACUCUCAGGACAACUUCCAUGUGAGAUGAUUUGAGACUGUGCAUAAACUGACUUAAGAUUUGUACUGCAAAUGAGAUGUCAGGUCUAGUGAUUGUCAAAUACAACAAUCUACCAAGUAACCUUUGAUAUGGACCAGGAUCCUCUAGUAGAGUAUCAUCAGUUGUAGAACCUGUGUGUGUAUCAAACUCCAAUGUGGUCAACUUGGCAUUCAACUCCAAGGGUGAAGUAACAGGUUUGCAGCCUGCUAGACCCAAAUCAGCUAUUAACUCCAAGCUAUACUUCCUCUUAUGCAUCAAAAUACUAUCUCUACUUCUGAAAAAUUCAAUUCUUAGAUAAUAUUUUAGCUCUCCCAAAUCUAUGAUCUUGAAGCUAUCUUGCAAUUGUGAUUUGGUUUCUUGUAUUAGCUGUAGAUUGUCUCCAGUAAUAAUGAGGUCAUCUAUAUAUACUAGGACCACUACCAACUUCCCUGAAGUUCUUUAAGUGAACAAAGAGUAAUCUUGGUGGCUCUAUUGGAAUCAUGAGGCAAGGAGUGAUGUAGUGACUUUGAUAUUCCAUUGUCGAGAUGCUUGCUUAAGCCCAUAGAGGGACUUAUGCAAUUUACAUACCAAUGACUUGUUGUUAGAGCCUACAAAUCCAGGUGGAAUGCACAUAAACACUUCUUCAGUUAAAUCACCUUGUAGAAAAGCAUUGUAAACAUUCAUUUGGUGGAUUGUCCAAUGCUUGGCAGCAGCUGAAGCAAUUACACUUCUAGUAGUUAUGAUCUUCACUAUUGGUGAGAAUGUUUCUUGGUAAUCCAAUCCUUCCUUCUGGUUGUACCCUUUUGCCACAAAUCGUGCCUUGAACAUAUCAACCUCUCCUGUUGCAUUGUACUCAAUCUUAUACUCCCAUUUGCAUCCUAUGGCUCUCUUCCCUGGGGCAAGGACACUAUCUCCCAAGUUUAGUUAUCCUCCAAUGCUUUUAUUUCUGCUUGCAUAGCCUUAAUCCAUCUUUUAUCCUUUGCAGACUCAUAGUAACUAUUGGGUUCUUGUUCAUAUGAAAUAUGAGAUAAGUAGCUUUGGUAUUUGGGAGACAGGUGAUCAUAGCCUAUGACAGCAGCUAUGAGAUAUCUACAAUUAUUGGUUUGUUCAACUUUGUCAACUCUAACAUAAUCCUUAAGCUAGAUGGGAGGUCUAGAAAUCCUACUUGAUCUUCUAACAUCAUCAACAAGUCGUUCAUUUGGCUCAGGAGCUGCAACUGAUGCAGGAGUUCCAAGAAGGGACUCUGGAUACCCCUGGUCUGAGUUAAGCAUAGAUGCAUUCUCUGAAGAAGAGGCACCGAAUAAGUCUGAGAAUGAGUCUGCAACAGGAGCUAAUGCAGGAGGAAGAGAAGCCUCAUGAUCUAUACCAUUAUGAUUAGGAAAUGAUCUCAUAUCUAGAUCAUCUAGAAAAGACUAAUCAGUCCCCGCUUCAGGAUUCUGAAAAGGGAACGCUUUUUCAAAGAAUGUUACAUCUCUGCUGAUAAAAAAUACAUUGUGCUCAAGAUCAAGUAGCUUGUAUCCUUUCUGAAGUGUUGCAUAUCCCAACAACACACACUUCACAGCUAGAGGCCCAAACUUAUCAAUUGUAGGCAGUAAAGAAGCAAAACACAAGCAUCAUAUGAUCUUUAUAUGAGAUAAGGAAGGUUGUUUGUGAUACAAUAGCUCAAAUAGUGAUUUAUUGCCAAGAAUAGUAUAGGGCACUCUAUUGAUAAGAUAUACAGAUGUCUCAAUACAAUCUCCCCAAAAUCUAGAUGGUACAUGGCUUUGGAAUCUGAUAGCCCUUGUAAUUUCUAAAAUAUAUGUGUCUUCUCUCUACUACCACAUUCUGUUGGGGUGUGUAAGGACAUAAACUUUGAUGUAGGAUCUCAUGCAACUGAAACAGUUCUCUACAAUGAGUAUUGAAAAAUUCACUUAUAUUAUCUGAUCUGAACAUCUUGACAGACUUGCCAAAUUGAGUUUUAAUCAUUGCAAGGAAGUUUUUAAGUAUGAAAACUACAUCAUAUUUCAAUCUCAAUAGAAAUUUUCAAGUCCAUCUAGUGUAAUCAUCCAUUAAUGUAAGAAAGAGAUUUUUUCCAAUAUAGGUAGCAACCUUAUAGGGUUCCCAAACAUCCAUGUGAAUUAGAAAAGGUUCAACACUUCUAGUAGUGGUUAGUGAAAAUGGCAUUCUAGUUUGCCUUGCCAAAUGGCAGAUCUCACACCUAUGAGCAUUAUUAAAGUCUAUACUAUUUCUGAAACAUUGUAAUUUUCUAAGAACUGGCAGAGAUACAUGUCCCAUUCUCUUGUGCCAUAUAUCUGGAUCUCCUUGUUUGACAACUGCAAAAGCUCUGCAAGAAUGCAGUUUAUUUUGUAACUCCACUGAGGUCAUGGUGUACGGCCCAUCUACCUCCCUACCAAUCUCCUUCACUCUUCCAGACAAGAGGUCCUGAAAUACAAAAAAUAUAGAGAAGAAAGAAGCAAAACAGUUCAGAUCUUUUAUAACCUUGGAGACAUAUAACAUCCUUAAUAGUGUCACCUCCAUACAAUUGACAAUCCCCUAUGUGAGUAAUUUUAGCAGAAUCCCUUGUUGGUAGGUAAACUUGUCAUGCAUUUUCUGUUUGUGUUCCAUGGUGCAACAAUUCUUUAUUUCCUAUCAUAUGGUUUGUAGCUCCUGUGUCUACAAUCUACUUAGGAAUGCUAAUAUUAUUAUAAAGAAAUGUAACUUCCAUUGCUGCCACAGUGCCACUUGAUUCACCAAUCGAGCUUUUGUUCAAUAUCUAUAGGGUCUAAGAAUAUUAUUCAUUUGUGACCAUGUGUGUUGGAACUCUUUUAUUUGCUUCCUGUGGGACAUUGCUUUCUAUCUGUGCUGCAUUACCUCUUCUCUUAGGCUUAAAGACAGAUGGAUAGCCCACUAUUUUAUAGCAAUUAUCCUUUGAAUGACCUGGUUUGUUACAGAAUUCACAGUUCACCAACUUGUAACAGCCUGCCUUUGUAUGCCCCUUCUGGUGACAGUACUCACAUUUUAUGCUGAAGUUCUUCCUUGGCUUGUUCCCUGACUGUGUGGUGAAUAUAGCAGUAGGCUCAACCUGUCAUGUAUGUGUGUUGAAAUGGUUGCCUGAGAUUAUCCUCCUGCUUUCAUCUUGAACUAUCAUAGCAUAAGCUUGGUAAAUGGAAGGAACAUUAGGCAUCAUCAAAAUUUGACUUCUAGCUUGCUCAAAACUAUCGUUCAACCCCAUUAGGAAUUGCAAUAACCUCUGAAAUUCCAGUUGUUCAACAUAAUCCUUAACAGGAAAUGGGGGUGAUAUAGCAUCAUAUUCAGCCCAAAUGUCAGUUAAUUUUGUAAAAUAAACAGAAACAGACGAUAUCCCAUAUGUAGAAGUAAAAAUUUCCUUGUGUAAGUAAUAGAGCCUCAAAGCAUUUACUUAGUCAAAUCGUUCCUUAAAUUGUGCCCAAACAGUUUGAGCAUUCUCUGAGAAUAGAACAUCAGUAAGGAGGUGUGAAUUAACAUUACUCAUCAACCACGAAGUAACAAUGGCAUUACAACGAUCCCACCGAUGAGCUAAUUCUGGUCCAAAAUCACUUUUCGAGGUAGUACCGCGUACCAAACAAAGUUUAUUCUUUCCUGAAAGAGCUACUUUAGUAACUCGACUCCACAAUGUAUAAUUCUCCAUCCAGUUAAUAACAAACCAAUCGACAAUGAACCUAGUAUAUCAGAUGGAUGUAAGUAGAGUGGGUGAUUAUGAUCUAGAAUGAAAUUCCCGCUAUUCACAUGUCCGGUCGAUGCUACUGUUGCGGUGGUGCUAUUGCCGUAAUCGUCAGCAAUCGCCAUGGAAAAUUACAGAAAUCUACUCGCAAUUACACAACUGAAGUAAAAUUAGGGUUCCGACCACAGAUCGUCGUUCCCGAUUUGAAAUAAAUUGAAGAAAUUGAGGAAAAAUUGAAGUUGAUUCUCUCGAUUUACUUUGACUUUGCAAAAAAAUCCCUAGAAUCGCUUAGUAAUUUGCUCUGAUUCCAUGUUAAGUUUGUGGAACGAGAUAGAAUUUAGAAGGAGGAAGCAAUUGCAUCUAAGAACAGAGAAGAGAAAGCUGAGGAAGAAAAUUAAUCUGCAUUUCUGUUAUUGACAGCGGUACAGUAACAUGUCCUCUUUAUACAAGUCUAACUACUAUAACUAACUACUAACUAUGGCUAGCUAACUAUAGUCUUCUAAACUAUGGUUAAGUUAUGUUACACCACUAACUACAUCACUUAUACUACUACACUCAACAUGGUCACAUUGUCAGUCUCUUAAAGAGACAGUAGAUUUUUAGUCUUGUUCCAUCAUGGACUAAGGAAGAGGCCGCGGGGGAGAUAAAUUAGAUUAGAUAUAUCAUAUGAGUACCAAUUAACUAGGUAAUUAAAUGUUAGCAAAGUCCAGUAAUUAUAUCAUGAAUUAAUUGAAAGCGGCACCAGAAUCUAUAUAUGAAAAUUAAGGGAUUCAACAUCAAAUACUUAAUAGUGUCUUGCAUGGCAGAUCCAAGCCACUAUUAAGGAAGCUUAAAUUUUGAUGCCAGAUUAAACAUUGCUACAGAGAAGCGAUUCAAGUUGCAGAUGCUUUAGCAAAAUGGAGUGUCGGAAGACCAAAUCAGAUUAUUUUUUUUCCUAAUUCACUACCUGACCAAGCUAAAUUAGGACCAUACAGGUUGGAUCUCAUUCAGAUGGGAGAGGAAGAAUCUAUUUUUGUGAAUUCUGAUAGAUAUAGAUGCUUCUUCUCUUCUGUAUUGUUGGUUCUAUUUUGUAUUGGGGAGAUGCAUCUGUCUAGUAAAUUUUCUUGUAUAGAAAGGCAUGUUUUGGAGUUAAGGAUGUUUAAUAUCCUCCUCCUUACUGGCUGUAACUUUUGUGCACUUGUGGAAGGGACACGCCGCCGUACUGCUAAAGUGCAGUUAAUUAAGAAAAUUAUAAGCGGCAUUGUAUAGUUGAGAAAUGGAUUGCUAAUUUGACUAAUUCUUGGAAUAGUACUAUACUUGUAAUGGGAAUGAGUGGGAUAAUGCGUACGUCUUUCUGGAUCAGCUGCAGCAAAAUCUCAUAGUAAGCCUAGAUGUAUAGUUACUUUACUAACUGGUGAUUUUUGGGAGCUUUCUUUCGUGCAUUAUGGCUUACUGUUCUAUAUCGGACAUAAAUCUUAUAUAUGUUCACUUUAUGAAAGGCAAGUUAAAGAAGACAAAUGAUACUAGAGAAAAAAAAGAAAGAAAGAAGAAGAUAAAAGCUUGCAUUUUAGAUGUUCUGCGCCUAAAGAUUGUAAAGUCACGUGGAAAAUACAUUCUCAAAGUUUCUUCUUAUCCUAAAGUUAUGAACAUAUGUUCUUACUUCAGACGAGUGAAAUGAUUUCAUCUUGGAAAGUGCCAAUAUAAUGCAAAGGUUCCACUGCUGUUUCAUUGGAUAUAUAUUGAUAAUGCUUCCUUAAAACUGUCCUUUAUUUAGUACGUUUUAUUUAAUGGUUGUCCUUGUCACAUUCGCUUUUUAUGUACUUGAUGGACUAGUUACAUGAUGUUUGGCAUAUUUCGAUAUGUGUUAAUGUUACUUUACCCAUGUUUUAACCACUUCUUGAUGUUAUUUAAUCUUUAAAACACCCAACAUGGUGUAAUUAUUGGUUUGAUGACUAAUUAAGUUAUGUGUGACGAUUUAAGGUGUUCGGAGUGCAAAAUAUGAAGAAAAGAUGGUUUAGCUAGAGGAAGAAGGGUUGGAUGCGUCGCAUCCAACCUAGGAAAACAUCAUCAUGCAUGCAACCUUAGCAGUGAAGUUGGGCCAUCGCGUCUGCCAUCGCGUGCGAAACUGGGAAGUAGAAGUGAAGCUGGAUGCGUCGCGUCCACCAUCGCAUGCAAGCUGAGAAAUAGAGGACAAGGUGGAUGCGUCGCAUCCACCUUCGCAGGCAAAAAUUGAAAU